rnacentral:rRNA from 1 species
GAUGAACGCUGGCGGCGUGCCUAAUACAUGCAAGUCGAGCGAAGCGGGGACGGGUGAGUAACACGUGGAUAACCUCCUAUAAGACUGGGAUAACUUCGGGAAACCGGAGCUAAACCGGAUCCUUAUAAAUGGAUCCGCGAUGCAUUGGCUAGUUGGUAAGGUAACGGCUUACCAAGGCAACGAUGCAUAGCCGACCUGAGAGGCGGAUCGGCCAUGCGGGAACUGAGACACGGUCCAGACUCCUACGGGAGGCAUCAGUAGGAAGUUUUCCGCAAUGGGCGAAAGCCGGACGGAGCAACGCCGCGUGAGUGAUGAAGGUCUUCGGUUCGUAAAUCUCUGUUAUUAGGGAAGCGGUACCGAAUCAGAAAGCCACGGCUAACUACGUGCAAGCAGCCGCGGUAAUC